rnacentral:rRNA from 1 species
GUCCACACAGUAAACGAUGAUUACUAGUUGUUUGCGAUAUGAUAGCAAGUGACUAAGCGAAAGCGAUAAGUAAUCCACCUGGGGAGUACGCCGGCAACGGUGAAACUCAAAGGAAUUGACGGGGGCCCCGCACAAGCGGAGGAACAUGUGGUUUAAUUCGAUGAUACGCGAGGAACCUUACCCGGGCUUGAAAUGCAUCUGACCGGCUUGGAAACAGGCCUUCUAGCAAUAGCAGAUGUGUAGGUGCUGCAUGGUUGUCGU